GCGCCCGUAGCUCAGGUGGAUAGAGCGGUGGUUUCCUAAACCGCGUCAGCCGGUGGUUCGAGUCCUCCCGGGCGCA
rnacentral:tRNA from 1 species